rnacentral:rRNA from 1 species
UACAGAGGGUGCGAGCGUUAACCGGAAUUACUGGGCGUAAAGCGUGCGUAGACGGCUAUCUAAGUCGGGUGUGAAAGCCCCGGGCUCAACCUGGGAAUUGCAUUCGAGACUGAAUAGCUAGGGUACGGUAGAGGGAAGUGGAAUUUCCGGUGUAGCGGUGAAAUGCGUAGAUAUCGGAAGGAACAUCAGUGGCGAAAGCGACUUCCUGGACCAGUACCGACGUUCAGGCACGAAAGCGUGGGGAGCAAACAGG